rnacentral:tRNA from 2 species
GCUGGUAUGGCCAAGUGGUAAGGCACUGCACUUGUAAUGCAGCGAUCGCAGGUUCGAUCCCUGCUGCUAGCA